UACGAAGGGGGCUAGCGUUGCUCGGAAUUACUGGGCGUAAAGCGCACGUAGGCGGACCAUCAAGUUGGGGGUGAAAUCCCGGGGCUCAACCCCGGAACUGCCUCCAAAACUGCUGGUCUGGAGGUCGAGAGAGGUGAGUGGAAUUCCGAGUGUAGAGGUGAAAUUCGUAGAUAUUCGGAGGAACACCAGUGGCGAAGGCGGCUCACUGGCUCGAUACUGACGCUGAGGUGCGAAAGCGUGGGGAGCAAACAGG
rnacentral:rRNA from 1 species